rnacentral:rRNA from 1 species
AGUCGAGGGGUAUAGUUCUUCGGAGCUAGAGACCGGCGCACGGGUGCGUAACGCGUAUGCAAUCUACCUUUUACAGAGGGAUAGCCCAGAGAAAUUUGGAUUAAUACCUCAUAGUAUGCAGAGUUGGCAUCAGCACUGCAUUAAAGUCACAACGGUAAAAGAUGAGCAUGCGUCCCAUUAGCUAGUUGGUAAGGUAACGGCUUACCAAGGCUACGAUGGGUAGGGGUCCUGAGAGGGAGAUCCCCCACACUGGUACUGAGACACGGACCAGACUCCUACGGGAGGCAGCAGUGAGGAAUAUUGGACAAUGGGCGCAAGCCUGAUCCAGCCAUGCCGCGUGCAGGAUGACGGUCCUAUGGAUUGUAAACUGCUUUUGUACGAGAAGAAACACUGCUUCGUGAAGCAGCUUGACGGUAUCGUAAGAAUAAGGAUCGGCUAACUCCGUGCCAGCAGCCGCGGUAAUACGGAGGAUCCAAGCGUUAUCCGGAAUCAUUGGGUUUAAAGGGUCCGUAGGCGGUUUGGUAAGUCAGUGGUGAAAGCCCAUCGCUCAACGGUGGAACGGCCAUUGAUACUGCCAGACUUGAAUUAUUAGGAAGUAACUAGAAUAUGUAGUGUAGCGGUGAAAUGCUUAGAGAUUACAUGGAAUACCAAUUGCGAAGGCAGGUUACUACUAAUGGAUUGACGCUGAUGG